GGUGGGGGCGGGUUGGGGGGCGGGGUGGAGUUGGGGACUGGCCCUGAAGGAGCGAGGCUGGGGCCCCUGGGAGGGACUGACGGGUGAGUCUUCCGCGCUCUCCUUGGGGGCUUAGGACCCUGGAGGGAGCCGGUGCUCAGGGGAGAUGGGCAGCCCCCACCGGGCGCUGGGGAUGCAGGAAGGCAUGGCCUGGCAGAGCCAGCCUGGUCGAUGCUGUCACUUGAUGAGGGUCCGUCCCCCAGCGGAUGGCAGGGUCCUGGCCUGCCCUGGAGAGGGAGGGGGAGGAGCUGCCACCCUCCCUGGAGGCGUUCCCCACCCACCCAAAAUGGACCGUGGUCUUCGGAGGCGCCUUCAUCCCCAGGUAGGGGUCCCGGCUGGAGAGGGCGCUGGGCUUGGCCCAGGCCCGCAGCCCUCCCUGGGAAGGCCCCAUGGUCUCAGGGGCCUCCUUUUUGUUCCCAUGAUCCUUGUGGGGGCUGCCAGUUUCUAUGGCGACGGCAUCUGGGGCCAGCUCGCUGGCUGGGGCCCUGGGUGCUGGGCCCAGCCAACCAGGGCUGGGGGGCGCUCUUGCCCAGGGCCAAAGUUUCUCCACUGGGGCCAGGAAAGCGGGGUACGCAGAUGGGGGGUAGGGCCCACUAAGCCCCUGGAUAGGGGACAGGGUCUUUGCUUGUUGAGCCCCCAGGCCUGGCGUGGGAGGACAGCAGAUGUGGAGGACACGAUUUUGGGGUGUUUGGGGUAGCUGGCCCUCAUCAGAUGGGGAUGGCACCGCUCCCUGUCACAGAACCCUAGUUUCCAUGUGGAGGAUGGCUCCAGGCCUCUCUGAGAGCAGUUUGCCCCCUCCUUUUUCCUCGGGGACGUGGGGAGGGCAGGGGAUGUCAGCCAGGAGCACCUAGAGGGUAGGAGCUGGGUGGGACCUUGGAGGUCAUUGCCUCUAACUCCUCCAUCCACCAAUAGGGAAGUCAUGGUGGGGGCAGGGCUCGCUCAGGAUUUUGAGGCGACGCUGCUGGACCCGGGUCUGUGCUCUCAGCCCAGAUCCCGGAGUGCCGUCCCCCUCAAGCUGUCCCCGUGACAGAACUGUAGGUGUUGCUGGUUCUGGGGGCUUGGCCCUGAGGACAGUAGCCAGGGCCUUGCUGGGGGCUUCCCGGAAGAGGUGAGUUUCUGCACAGGGAAGCGGCCCACUCUGCUGGGGUUCCCUGGGUCCCCUUUGCAGGUUGAGCAGGUGGAGCAGGGCUGCCUUGGGAGCUGCUCUUCCUUGGGGGGCGGGAGGUGCUGGGGGGCUCUGGAGCAGGGCGCAGUGCCCAGACGCCCUCUCCAAGUCUGAGGUCAGGCCCGCAGGAGAUCAGUGCUGCUCUAGUCUUGAAACACGGGGCUGUCCCUCGCAUGUGGCAACCACAGACUGGCCCUUGGUCCCUCUGAGCCUUGGUUUCCUCUCGUGGAAAACGGAAGUGGCCUCUGCUGCUCAGGGUGACUACGAGGGCUGUGCCUGUUGACAGGGACCUUCCUGGGCCAGGCCUGCAGCAGGGCAGGCCCCCGCAUCCUGGAAGGGUGGUCCCGGGGCCGCCAGCAGGGAGAGCGUGUUAGGUGAGGGGCAGGUGGGUGGCUGACGCUGGUGGAGCUCAGGGGUGAGCAUGAGGCCCAGGGGGCCUUUCUAGGAAGAUCUGGCUUGGCUCUGGCACUCCCGAGGGUGAAUGGACAGGGCCCUGCGCCAGCGUGCACAGCACAGGCGAGCGCAUAGCUCUGGUCUGUGAAGGGGUCUUGGCUGUGCCUGGGUCCAGGGGCGGGCAGGGGGUGGGGGGGGUGCGGAAG
rnacentral:lncRNA from 1 species